rnacentral:rRNA from 1 species
AUACAGAGGGUGCGAGCGUUAAUCGGAAUUACUGGGCGUAAAGCGCGCGUAGGCGGCUUAUUAAGUCAGAUGUGAAAUCCCCGGGCUCAACCUGGGAACUGCAUCUGAUACUGGUAAGCUCGAGUUUUGGAGAGGGAAGUAGAAUUUCAGGUGUAGCGGUGAAAUGCAUAGAGAUCUGAAGGAAUACCAGUGGCGAAGGCGACUUCCUGGCCAAAAACUGACGCUGAGGUGCGAAAGCGUGGGUAGCAAACGGGAUUAGAAACCCUUGUAGUCC